rnacentral:rRNA from 1 species
GUAGGUGGCAAGCGUUGUCCGGAAUUAUUGGGGCGUAAAGCGCGCGCAGGCGGUUCUUUAAGUCUGAUGCGAAAGCCCACGGGCUCAACCGUGGAGGGUCAUUGGAAACUGGAGAACUUGAGUACAGAAGAGGAAAGCGGAAUUCCACGUGUAGCGGUGAAAUGCGUAGAGAUGUGGAGGAACACCAGUGGCGAAGGCGGCUUUCUGGUCUGUAACUGACGCUGAGGCGCGAAAGCGUGGGGAGCAAACAGGAUUAGAUACCCUGGUAGUCCACGCCGUAAACGAUGAGUGCUAAGUGUUAGGGGGUUUCCGCCCCUUAGUGCUGCAGCUAACGCAUUAAGCACUCCGCCUGGGGAGUACGGCCGCAAAGGCUG